UGCCGUCAGCAGCCCUUCCUGCACGCUCGAUGGCCACCAGAUGGUCAAAUCUGCCCGGAAGCAAUGGUGGAUGAGUUGUAUGGAAACCUUGUCAGCAAGGUUACAAGGAUGUGGUCUUCCCCAACCCCAUGCACUCAAUCUGGGGUACCAUAUACAUACCUUGGAGACUUGGGGUCCCCAUCUUUGCACAAAAAUGCCUGAGCAUCUUCCAUUGAUCCACUCUGCUAGGGUGGUCAGAAGACUUGCUCAGUCUCACGGAGCUCAAGGAGACAGUGGUGCCCUGCUGAGCCUGGCCCUGUACUUCCCACGUGUUUCUCCAAGCACACCUGCCCUCUUCUUGUCUGAAAUGUUGAUCGCUACAGCAUGAUAUGAUGGCAGAGUUUCUGGGCCCCCGAGAGGCUGAGUAGAGCAGUGCCCCUCUCUACUAAUCCAGAACUCUCUGAAGACCUGCCCUGUGCUGUUACAUGGAGGCAGCACAACCUUCUACAGCAUUUGAACGUAGCCUGUUGAGGCUCAUUUGUUAGACUGGUUUAGCAAAACCUAACAAACAGAAGAAUGUAUAAAGAGGAAAGGAAAUGGUAUGCAUUCAUUGGGACGUUUCCCCACGAGCCCAAGACAAGGUCUGCGGUACAAUUAUUCCAGGAGACCAUAAUUCCAGAAAACACAGCAGAAGAUGAGACCCAGAAAAACAUGAAAGGAUUGAGAGUGAGCCAGUUAACCCUAAGGCAACUGGAACUCUGUGUUGCUUGAGAGCCACUAAGAAGCCUUGGAAGAUGCACCCUAGACCUGCCCUAUCAGAGGACCAGAGGCUACCCACUUGUUCACAGGCUUCUGUCCCCUGUUGGGGGGAACUUCAUUGCACUCAUUGGACUGUGCCUCCUAUAAUAGAGAGAGAGGUAGACUGUCCUCUAGUGGAGGAGUCGAGCAAAUGGGGAGCCAUCCAUCACCUCUGUAGAGGAGCUCAGUCUCAGGCAACACAGAUGAGGGCAGCAGCUAGUGCUAAGGUUGGUCAGCCAGGCCCAGCUGAGCCACACCACUUCCUGACUCUUGUCCCUACUGGCAUGCCUCUGUCCACCGUCAUGUCUCUCCCGACGAGUGCCAUACGGAGGCAGAGUGUGACUCAGCAUGUCCACCGAGCUGAGCUGCCUCAGAGCAGGCCAAAGGGAUGGGAAGGGGCGUCGGCUUGCAGUUGAGGUUCACAGAGAGAAUUAAGGAUGCUGGGUUUGCAUCCCCACUAUGGAGGCACCACUCCAGACCGAGUCAGGAACAGUUCCAGUGCAGGACCUGGCACAUGAUAGCUGUGUGUCCUUCGUUCUCUAUCUGGGUUUUCCUACAUGAAAAACGAGGCGGGUAGCGAGAUGGGGGAACUCUGGGGAAAGAGACUCUCAACCACUGGUUGUUGGAGUGGGGACUGGAAGUUGGGGCCUGGGAGAUGAUUUUUUUUCUUAGACUUUUUACAAUUCUCUCAUCUGGCCUCUGGCAUCCCUAAUAAAGUAGUCACAGGUAUGUGUAAAAUUAAAUUGUGGUAUUGUUUAUGGUAUCCAAUAAUGGAUUAUUAGUCAAAUGGUGGCAUACUCACACAAUGAAAUUUUAGCCAAUCAAAGGAAUGUCGUGAACUGGAUGUGGUGGCUCUUUCCUGUGAUCCCAGCUCUCCUCCUGGGAGACUGAGGCAGGUGGAUUGCAGAGAGUUCAAAGCUAGCCUGGGCUACAAAGUGAGACUCUGUCUCAAACAGACAGACAGACAGCCAGUAUGUAGAUGUUGUAGAGAUCAUUUCAUGAUAUGGAAAGUUUAUUAAAAAGUCCUAAAAUAGUAUCAUGGUGGGGUUCCAUUACAUAUAUUCCUGUAUGCAAAGAUUUGAGACCAAAGAAAAGGACUUUAAUGGCAAAUACAAGCCUAUUAAUAAUUUAUUGAUUGUGAUGGAUUCUGGUAUUUAAAAAAGCGUGUGGGUAGGUGUGUGUGUGUUUGUAUGUGUUCUUGUGCAUGUGUGCUUGUGUACAUGUGCAUAUGGAGGCCUGAGAUUGAUGCCAUGUGUCUUCUUUGAUUGCUUACUCCAUUUCCUUUCUUUUCUUUUCUUUCUUUCUUUCUCUCUCUCUCUCUCUCUCUCUCUCUCUCUCUCUCUCUCUCUCUCUUUCUUUCUUUCUUUCUUGAGGCAGGGUCUCUCACUGAUUUGGCUAGGCUGAUUAGCCAGUGAGCCUCAAGGAUCUACCUGUCUGCCUCCUUACUUUUGGGAUUCCAAGCCCACACUGAUGUCCCUGCUUCCUACAUGUAUGCUUGGUACUGAAGCCAGCUCCUCCCUCUGCUGACACGGCAUGCCUUAACUAACUGAGCCAUCUCCUCGGGCUCCAGGACUCUGGUCAUUUUUAUUGAUUCUUCACGUUCAUACACUUUCCUUCUAUAACAUAAUUUUAUUAAUUAAUUAGAUUCACUUUUGAGACUGGGUCAAACCCCGGUCUUGGAUUAAUGGUCCUCCUGCCUCAGCCUCCUAAAUACAGGGGUGAGAGGCAUGCACCACCAUCAUGGCUAUUUUCAAGUGUCUUCUGAUGUUCCUACAAUAACAUUGUUGACAAGAUAGAGAAGAAUAACAGCAUUUUAUAAAAUAAAAUUGGGCAUAACAUGUUUAUUGGAGUGUGAGGAGUACUAAAGAGAAAGAGGAGAGAGUUUGGGCAACUGAAAGCUGUGUGUGUAUGAUGAUUUUACUACCCGUGCAAAAACCAUUACUAUAAAUCUUGCACCCUCCAUAUCCUCCAGACACCUCAAAUGCAAGUCAAUAUCCUCUUUAAAAUGACUGAGUGGCUCUAUUAAUAAGCUCAGUGAGUAAUGCCCAGCACAAAGUACACCGUCAUUAAUCUUACAUCUGCUUAUUUGAGUGGGAAUCAAAAUCGUCUAUUGUUCGUGCAGAUUAAAGAUGGUUUUUCACAGAUGAAAUCAGCACAUCAGACAGUCAUAAAUCUGCCUCCACUGGGACUCAUGCUUCAAGCCUCAAACCCCAGUCUGCAGGAGGGCCUAUGGGAGGCGCUGCAUCUGACCUUUCUGCUCACCCAUACUAGGCAAUGGGUGAACCGAGGGGGCAGUAAAUCUACUGUCAACUCCUUCAUUUAAACUCAGAGCUAAUCUCAGAGUUAAUAAUUCAUCUUUCCUCAUGACGCCAUGUUAAGUAGGGACGCCAUCAGCUUGGGUAAGACUGUCUGGGAGGGAGAAAUUAUUAUGGAAAAAAAAUUAAAAUACCUACCCAGGACAGUGUGGGAGUAUUCUUUUAAAAAAAAAACUCAUGUAUUUACUUGUGACUCUGUGUGUGUGUGUGUGUGUGUGUGUGUGUGUGUGUGUGUGUGUGUGUCUGUGUGUGCACACACAUGCAUGUGCCUAUGUGUGUGCUGUAGCAUGCAUGUGGAGGUCAGAGGACAACUUUUGGGAGCUGAUUCUUUCCUACUACAUGGGGCCUGGGGGUCAAAUUCGAGUCAUUAGCUUGCUAGCA